rnacentral:rRNA from 1 species
AGUGAACGCUGGCGGUAGGCCUAACACAUGCAAGUCGAACGGCAACACAGUGAGCGCUUGCUCUUACGGGUGGCGAGUGGCGGACGGGUGAGGAAUACAUCGGAAUCUACUUUUUCGGGGGGGAUAACGUAGGGAAACUUACGCUAAUACCGCAUACGACCUACGGGUGAAAGCAGGGGAUCUUCGGACCUUGCGCGAUUGAAUGAGACGAUGUCGGAUUAGCUAGGUGGCGGGGUAAAGGCCCACCAAGGCGACGAUCCGUAGCUGGUCUGAGAGGAUGAUCAGCCACACUGGAACUGAGACACGGUCCAGACUCCUACGGGAGGCAGCAGUGGGGAAUAUUGGACAAUGGGCGAAAGCCUGAUCCAGCCAUGCCGCGUGGGUGAAGAAGGUCUUCGGGUCGUAAAGCCCUUUUGUUGGGAAAGAAAAGCAGCAGGUGAAUCUCCCGCUGUUCUGACGGUACCCAAAGAAUAAGCACCGGCUAACUUCGUG